GGGCCCGUAGCUUAGCCUGGCUGGAGCGCCCGGCUGAUAACCGGGAGGUCAAGAGUCCAAAUCUCUUCGGGCCCA
rnacentral:tRNA from 2 species